rnacentral:rRNA from 1 species
AUUCAGUCGAUAUGUGCGGAGGUGCGUGCGGACGUUAUCCAGAAGGCUCCCCGAUCGGGGUCUGUUCCGCUGCACUCUGCCGUACCGUUCGACGCAUUUCUUUUCUGCCCGAAAGGACGCCGCAACCGGUUGGAAGGUGGCCUGAUGGGAGAGCCGUGGCAGUUGGCCGGCGUCUGGAAUACUAGUCUGCCGGUUGUUAGCCUGCUCUGAUCCUAAGCUCGCUAUCCGACCGUGGUGUGUGCCCAACAACUGGGCCCGAUCGCCUCCUCCUUUACCCGAAGUGGCGGGUGGAGAAGCGCGGCAGACGUCACUACGACGGCUGGUCGCACACUCUGAUGGUGUGGACUUGAUCGUCGGCGUCAUCGAUGGCUGUGCAAGAACCCGUGCGAGGUUGGCGGUUGGCGGCGAGUAGAUCGGUCACCCACAUGACCCGUCUUGAAACACGGACCAAGGAGUCUAACAUGUGUGCGAGUCAAUGGGUCUCGAAUAAGCCCAGAGGCGCAAUGAAAGCAAAGGCCGCGCAGAAUGCCGGCUGUGUUGGGAUCCCUGCGCUCGUCGCGGGGCGCACCAACGACCCGUCCCGUCCGAUUCAUCGGUGGGACGGAGUCCGAGCAUACACGUUGGGACCCGAAAGAUGGUGAACUAUGCCUAGUCAGGAUGAGGCCAGAGGAAACCCUGGUAGAGGUCCGCAGCGGUUCUGACGUGCAAAU